CCGUGCCAGACGGGGAGCUAGCGGUGCCCUGAACCUGCAAGCCGCUAUAGCAGGGUCGGAUUCCCGGAUGGAGGCGUGUCACUGUAAGGUACGGAGGCGGCAAGGGGCGUUGAGAAGUGGGCCCCGUGCAACGGACAACCGUGAACCCUGUCAGGCCCUGACGGGAGCAGCAGUAAGCGGAACUGGACGUGUGCCUCGGAUCAGUCUGCUUUGAGCAACCUGCCGCCAUACCUCUUGUAGUGGCAUGUCGAUAUCCGGGUGCACGG
rnacentral:SRP_RNA from 1 species